AUUUUUUUGCUUAGAAAUAUAUUUUGUAGUUAUGCUUUCAAUAUUUUUCUUGAUGAUCUGAAUAAAACAUUUAUUGGGUUUCACAAACAAAAAAAUGAAGUCAUAUUUUCAAAUAUUUGUUAUUUAAUUUGUAUUUAAUUAAAAACCACGAAAGCUAAGUUAACUUUUGGCGGAACCAAAGUUGAUAUACCCUUCCAGCUAAUAUUCUGAGAUGUAUAUCGCUAAUAUCGAAAAUAUUUGAUAGAUCCUUGUGAGAUCCUUGUUUCCCUCAUUUUUUAAAAAGUUUCAGCCUGCUAACUUUAAAAACACCAAUGUUGUGUCAUUUGUGAUUGUUUGCUUAUAUGAUGAUUUUGAUUGACCCAAAAUAAAAUACCUAUAUGGAAAGUCCCUCUAAGUUAGAAAACAACUCAGUUGUGGAACUCCCGAUCAAUCAGUUACAUGGCAGCUAAAGGAUAUAGUCGACCGAUCCCGGCCGUUCCGAUUUAUAUUCAGCGUGCAGUGAAAAGAAGAAUGUGUGCGUAGAAAAUGAUCAAGAAUAUAUAAUAUAUAUUUUUAUAAGGUCGGAGAUGUCUCGCUGCGUUGUAGGCAUUAACCAAAUUAUAAUAUCCUCUGCAAGGGUAUCAAAAUGGUUUCAGGUUUAAAUAUAUGGCUAUAUACUUACAUAUAUGCUAUAAUUUACAAAUAUAACGCUAUUAUAAGGCUAUAAACUUAUAGAAAUUAUAAAUUUAGUCUACUAUACACAUUUGUGUUCUUUACCGGAACUAGACAAGCUAGGAUUUUUAUUGUGCUUCACGGCCGUGAAGAAAUGCUUUGCAUAACCCUUACGCAAGGGGCUCAAAGCCCCUUCAACGCCUUGGCCAAAGUGGGCAGUGUCUUGGCUAAAAGUGGGUAUAACGCACAAAGACGGGACGAAAUAAAGGAUCUGGGAGUCUUUUUUGAACUGGCGCUAAGAAAUGUGUCAUUUUUUGAUGGGGGCGUGUUAAAAAUAUGAAACAAACUUGACUAUGAAAAAAAUUAUAUGAAAACCAUAGGAUGUAGUCAAAGGAACACGCCGACUUUUAUAUUAUGUAUGAUGUGAAAAAGAAUGAAGAAUGUGUACAAAGCUUGAAGUCGAUAACUAUAAACCUGAGAAAAUAUUUAUUUUGCUUAUAUCGACUCAGGAGGUGAUCCUAAUCCUAAUAAUUUAACAGGGUCUGAGAUGUUGAUCAAAAUUGCAAUACCCUCUGCAAUGGUAUAAAAAUGAAACGCAAUAAUAGAUUAUCUUCCGUGUGCUAAUCACUUAUGUGUGUGUUUUUCAUUUUUUAUUCUUUUCUGGUCACACCUUAAUGAAUCUUAAAAAAUGCUCUAAAAGGAUCGGCAUAUUGCGUUAACUACCAAUGGAUGUGCAUUCAAUAGUAGAAAACAAAUAAAUAUUAAUGUUUUCGUCUUGCGCAGAAGCUCUACCAAAGCUCCCCAAAACGCAUACAAAUAGCAAAUAACAAUACAGCAAAUAACAAUACAGCAAAUAACAAUAAAGCACAUGCGAAGCUGGGAGACAAAACAGAGAAGAAUACAUGCUGAUAACGACACCUGCGGCUAAGCAUGUUAUGAUUAUUUAACAUACAUUUUAGCCCUCUGAAAAGCUAUAAAAACCACUUGGCCCACCAAAAAUAUCGGAUAUUUAUUAUGGCAACGAAAACCGCAUUAUAGGUAUACAACAUAUUGUCUGAUAACUGCAAAGCUAU